rnacentral:rRNA from 1 species
UACGGAGGGUGCGAGCGUUAAUCGGAAUAACUGGGCGUAAAGGGCACGCAGGCGGGCUUUUAAGUGAGAUGUGAAAUCCCCGGGCUUAACCUGGGAAUUGCAUCUGAUACUGCAGUACUUGAGUGAUAGAGGGGAAAGCGGAAUUCCAUGUGUAGCGGUGAAAUGCGUAGAUAUAUGGAGGAACACCAGUGGCGAAGGCGGCCCCCUGGACAAAGACUGACGCUCAGGUGCGAAAGCGUGGGGAGCAAACAGG